rnacentral:rRNA from 1 species
UGCGCAGGCGGAUAAAUAAGUCAGAGGUGAAAGCCCACAGCUCAACUGUGGAACUGCCUUUGAUACUGUUUAUCUUGAGUCUGGUUGAAGUAGGCGGAAUGUAGUAUGUAGCGGUGAAAUGCUUAGAUAUACUACAGAACACCGAUUGCGAAGGCAGCUUACUAAACCAGUACUGACGCUCAGGCACGAAAGCGUGGGGAGCGAACAGGAUUAGAUACCCUGGUAGUCC